rnacentral:rRNA from 1 species
AGCGUACACGGUGGAUGCCCUGGCAGUCAGAGGCGAUGAAGGACGUGCUAAUCUGCGAUAAGCGUCGGUGAGGUGAUAUGAACCGUUAUAACCGGCGAUUUCCGAAUGGGGAAACCCAGUGUGUUUCGACACACUAUCAUUAACUGAAUCCAUAGGUUAAUGAGGCGAACCGGGGGAACUGAAACAUCUAAGUACCCCGAGGAAAAGAAAUCAACCGAGAUUCCCCCAGUAGCGGCGAGCGAACGGGGAGGAGCCCAGAGCCUGAAUCAGUGUGUGUGUUAGUGGAAGCGUCUGGAAAGGCGCGCGAUACAGGGUGACAGCCCCGUACACAAAAAUGCACAUAUUGUGAGCUCGAUGAGUAGGGCGGGACACGUGGUAUCCUGUCUGAAUAUGGGGGGACCAUCCUCCAAGGCUAAAUACUCCUGACUGACCGAUAGUGAACCAGUACCGUGAGGGAAAGGCGAAAAGAACCCCGGCGAGGGGAGUGAAAAAGAACCUGAAACCGUGUACGUACAAGCAGUGGGAGCCUCUUAAUGGGGUGACUGCGUACCUUUUGUAUAAUGGGUCAGCGACUUAUAUUCUGUAGCAAGGUUAACCGAAUAGGGGAGCCGAAGGGAAACCGAGUCUUAACUGGGCGUUAAGUUGCAGGGUAUAGACCCGAAACCCGGUGAUCUAGCCAUGGGCAGGUUGAAGGUUGGGUAACACUAACUGGAGGACCGAACCGACUAAUGUUGAAAAAUUAGCGGAUGACUUGUGGCUGGGGGUGAAAGGCCAAUCAAACCGGGAGAUAGCUGGUUCUCCCCGAAAGCUAUUUAGGUAGCGCCUCGUGAAUUCAUCUCCGGGGGUAGAGCACUGUUUCGGCAAGGGGGUCAUCCCGACUUACCAACCCGAUGCAAACUGCGAAUACCGGAGAAUGUUAUCACGGGAGACACACGGCGGGUGCUAACGUCCGUCGUGAAGAGGGAAACAACCCAGACCGCCAGCUAAGGUCCCAAAGUCAUGGUUAAGUGGGAAACGAUGUGGGAAGGCCCAGACAGCCAGGAUGUUGGCUUAGAAGCAGCCAUCAUUUAAAGAAAGCGUAAUAGCUCACUGGUCGAGUCGGCCUGCGCGGAAGAUGUAACGGGGCUAAACCAUGCACCGAAGCUGCGGCAGCGACACUAUGUGUUGUUGGGUAGGGGAGCGUUCUGUAAGCCUGUGAAGGUGGCCUGUGAGGGUUGCUGGAGGUAUCAGAAGUGCGAAUGCUGACAUAAGUAACGAUAAAGCGGGUGAAAAGCCCGCUCGCCGGAAGACCAAGGGUUCCUGUCCAACGUUAAUCGGGGCAGGGUGAGUCGACCCCUAAGGCGAGGCCGAAAGGCGUAGUCGAUGGGAAACAGGUUAAUAUUCCUGUACUUGGUGUUACUGCGAAGGGGGGACGGAGAAGGCUAUGUUGGUCGGGCGACGGUUGUCCCGGUUUAAGCGUGUAGGCUGGUUUUCCAGGCAAAUCCGGAAAACCAAGGCUGAGGCGUGAUGACGAGGCACUACGGUGCUGAAGUGACAAAUGCCCUGCUUCCAGGAAAAGCCUCUAAGCAUCAGGUAACAUCAAAUCGUACCCCAAACCGACACAGGUGGUCAGGUAGAGAAUACCAAGGCGCUUGAGAGAACUCGGGUGAAGGAACUAGGCAAAAUGGUGCCGUAACUUCGGGAGAAGGCACGCUGAUAUGUAGGUGAAGCGACUUGCUCGUGGAGCUGAAAUCAGUCGAAGAUACCAGCUGGCUGCAACUGUUUAUUAAAAACACAGCACUGUGCAAACACGAAAGUGGACGUAUACGGUGUGACGCCUGCCCGGUGCCGGAAGGUUAAUUGAUGGGGUUAGCGGUAACGCGAAGCUCUUGAUCGAAGCCCCGGUAAACGGCGGCCGUAACUAUAACGGUCCUAAGGUAGCGAAAUUCCUUGUCGGGUAAGUUCCGACCUGCACGAAUGGCGUAAUGAUGGCCAGGCUGUCUCCACCCGAGACUCAGUGAAAUUGAACUCGCUGUGAAGAUGCAGUGUACCCGCGGCAAGACGGAAAGACCCCGUGAACCUUUACUAUAGCUUGACACUGAACAUUGAGCCUUGAUGUGUAGGAUAGGUGGGAGGCUUUGAAGUGUGGACGCCAGUCUGCAUGGAGCCGACCUUGAAAUACCACCCUUUAAUGUUUGAUGUUCUAACGUUGGCCCGUAAUCCGGGUUGCGGACAGUGUCUGGUGGGUAGUUUGACUGGGGCGGUCUCCUCCUAAAGAGUAACGGAGGAGCACGAAGGUUGGCUAAUCCUGGUCGGACAUCAGGAGGUUAGUGCAAUGGCAUAAGCCAGCUUGACUGCGAGCGUGACGGCGCGAGCAGGUGCGAAAGCAGGUCAUAGUGAUCCGGUGGUUCUGAAUGGAAGGGCCAUCGCUCAACGGAUAAAAGGUACUCCGGGGAUAACAGGCUGAUACCGCCCAAGAGUUCAUAUCGACGGCGGGGUUUGGCACCUCGAUGUCGGCUCAUCACAUCCUGGGGCUGAAGUAGGUCCCAAGGGUAUGGCUGUUCGCCAUUUAAAGUGGUACGCGAGCUGGGUUUAGAACGUCGUGAGACAGUUCGGUCCCUAUCUGCCGUGGGCGCUGGAGAACUGAGGGGGGCUGCUCCUAGUACGAGAGGACCGGAGUGGACGCAUCACUGGUGUUCGGGUUGUCAUGCCAAUGGCACUGCCCGGUAGCUAAAUGCGGAAGAGAUAAGUGCUGAAAGCAUCUAAGCACGAAACUUGCCCCGAGAUGAGUUCUCCCUGACUCCUUGA